UACAGAGGGUGCAAGCGUUAAUCGGAAUUACUGGGCGUAAAGCGUGCGUAGACGGUUACGUAAGUCAGAUGUGAAAGCCCCGGGCUCAACCUGGGAAUUGCAUUUGAGACUGCGUAGCUAGGGUGCGGAAGAGGGAAGCGGAAUUUCCGGUGUAGCGGUGAAAUGCGUAGAUAUCUGGAGGAACACCGGUGGCGAAGGCGGCAUCCUGGACCAACACUGACGCUGAUGAGCGAAAGCCCAGGGG
rnacentral:rRNA from 1 species